rnacentral:rRNA from 1 species
GACGAACGCUGGCGGCGUGCCUAAUACAUGCAAGUAGAACGCACAGUUUAUACCGUAGCUUGCUACACCAUAGACUGUGAGUUGCGAACGGGUGAGUAACGCGUAGGUAACCUGCCUGGUAGCGGGGGAUAACUAUUGGAAACGAUAGCUAAUACCGCAUAAUAUUGAUUAUUGCAUGAUAAUUGAUUGAAAGAUGCUAUUGCAUCACUACCAGAUGGACCUGCGUUGUAUUAGCUAGUAGGUGAGGUAACGGCUCACCUAGGCGACGAUACAUAGCCGACCUGAGAGGGUGAUCGGCCACACUGGGACUGAGACACGGCCCAGACUCCUACGGGAGGCAGCAGUAGGGAAUCUUCGGCAAUGGACGAAAGUCUGACCGAGCAACGCCGCGUGAGUGAAGAAGGUUGUCGGAUCGUAAAGCUCUGUUGUAAGAGAAGAACGGGUGUGAGAGUGGAAAGUUCACACUGUGACGGUAUCUGACCAGAAAGGGACGGCUAACUACGUG